AACGCACAUUGCGCCCCCUGGCAUUCCGGGGGGCAUGCCUGUCCGAGCGUCAUGACGCCACUCGAGUCCUUAAGUGGUCUUGGUCUUAGGCCACGCCGGCCCCCACGCCGGCGGGCCCCAAACACAUCGGCGGUGCCGCCGGGCCCCGAGCGUAGUAUCCACCCUCGCUCCCGGGCGUCCGGCGCACAUCGCCCGCCAACGCAGCCCCGCCACGCAGGGUUGACCUCGGAUCAGGUAGGAAUACCCGCUGAACUUAA
rnacentral:misc_RNA from 1 species